rnacentral:rRNA from 1 species
CUUAAGCAUAUCAAUAAGCGGAGGAAAAGAAACUAACGAGGAUUCCCCUAGUAACUGCGAGUGAAGCGGGAAAAGCUCAAAUUUAAAAUCUGGCGGUCUCUGGCCGUCCGAGUUGUAGUCUGGAGAAGCGUCUUCGACGCCGGACCGUGUACGAGUCCCUUGGAACAGGGCAUCAUAGAGGGUGAGAAUCCCGUCCAUGACACGGACCGCCGGCGGUUUGUGAUGCGCUCUCGAAGAGUCGAGUUGUUUGGGAAUGCAGCUCAAAAUGGGUGGUAAAUUCCAUCUAAAGCUAAAUACUGGCGAGAGACCGAUAGCGAACAAGUACCGUGAGGGAAAGAUGAAAAGCACUUUGGAAAGAGAGUUAAACAGUACGUGAAAUUGCUGAAAGGGAAACGCUUGAAGUCAGUCGCGUCGGCCGGGGCUCAGCCUUGCAGAUUCGUCUGCUCGGUUUACUUCCCGGUCCGACGGGCCAGCGUCGAUUUCGAUCGUCGGAGAAGGGUCAGAGGAAAGUGGCACCCUCGGGUGUGUUAUAGCCUUUGGUCGGAUGCGGCGGUCGGGAUCGAGGAACGCGGCACGCCUUUAAUGGCCGGGGCAUUCGUGCCCACGUAUCGUGCUUAGGAUGCUGGCGUAAUGGCUUUAAACGACCCGUCUUGAAACACGGACCAAGGAGUCUAACGUGCCUGCGAGUG